rnacentral:rRNA from 1 species
GACGAACGCUGGCGGCGUGCUUAACACAUGCAAGUCGAACGGAAAGGCCCUGCUUUUGUGGGGUGCUCGAGUGGCGAACGGGUGAGUAACACGUGAGUAAACUGCCCUUGUCUUUGGGAUAACUUCAGGAAACUGGGGCUAAUACCGGAUAGGAGCUCCUGCUGCAUGGUGGGGGUUGGAAAGUUUCGGCGGUUGGGGAUGGACUCGCGGCUUAUCAGCUUGUUGGUGGGGUAGUGGCUUACCAAGGCUUUGACGGGUAGCCGGCCUGAGAGGGUGACCGGCGACAUUGGGACUGAGAUACGGCCCAGACUCCUACGGGAGGCAGCAGUGGGGAAUAUGGCACAAUGGGCGGAAGCCUGAUGCAGCAACGCCGCGUGCGGGAUGACGGCCUUCGGGUGGUAAACAGCUGUCGCCUGUGACGAAGCGGGAGUGACGGUAAUGGGUAAAGAAGCACCGGCUAACUACGUG